CUCUCUGCACCUAGGAGAGAUGUGCCUGAGUGAGGCCCCUGACUGUCCGCCUGGCCUUGGGGGAGGGGCAGUGCCUCCCCCACUCCACCACACUGUAGGCAGGUUCUGUAGGGAUCUGGGAGGUGCCCCCAGAGGCCCAGCCUGCUCAGUGAUUUCGGAAGUACCCAUCCCUACGUCAAGUCUGGUGGGCUCCAAACAGCUGGAGCUAUCAACUCAGCCCCACCAGCUUGGCCACAGUCACAAAGCCAGAAGCCACCGCCACCACCAGAAAACCUCCGAGACACCUGGAGAAGUUUCUGGGCUCCGAGUUUCACCCUGAGGUCAGAACCUUUCUGUGUGAUGUCCUGAAAGUUUUACACAAUCUCCGUGAAAGACAGGUGCACGAUUUGGGGCCCGUUUUAUAACCAAGAAACAUAAGAUCAGGUACUCUCCCUUCCUGGGUAUCCUCAUCAGGAUUUUCCUCUUCCUGUAAGGACAUGAAUCAGUAUGACUUUAUCUUUACUUGAUCACAUCUGCAAAGACCCUCUUCCCAAAUAUGGCCACAUUCCCAGGUCCAGUCACCAUCGUUGACAUCUGGCCUCAGAGUCCUCAAAAUGGAAGUCAGCUUUUAUAAGACGAACCCUGGAAAGAGCUCUCGGAUUUCCAUGGAGAAGCAUCUGCUUCAUAAAAUGAGUCUCCAGAAAGCCUGCUUCUGUCAAAGUUGUUUAGUGAAAGGGCCACAGUUGGCAUGGCUUAAAGCAGCAGCACAGUGAAUACUGUUGUCCAUGGUGCUUAAUUCUGGAAGGGGUGCGGGGCCCUGCCAGCCAGCAGUGCCAAAAACCAUGUUCAAGAUAGUUUUGAUUCAAGUGCUUAUGAAGAAUAGGGUUGCUUUGGGUAGGGGAGCAGCUUUCUGCCCAAAGUAGUUCCUACCUAUGACAGACAGGACAAACCAGCAUGGCCCAUGGACGCAGCAAAAGGGAACUUGGUAUAUGGAAACGCGCCUUUGAGAUUGAAAUGUUUGAAAAUGUGAAUCAAAUGUGGAGAAUGCCAAAAAGGAAAAAGGAAGUCACAUAAGCACAUUAUGCCAAAUUUGGAAACCAGACGAAGGGGGUGGGGGUGUGUGUUGGGGAGAGAUGGACAGAUGAUCUGUUGUUGAGACAACCUAACCCAGCUGGUGGGGAGGCCUUGGGGAUCCUGUCUGCUUCUUGUCGUAAGAAAAAAAAAAGCAUAUUUUCAUAGUAAAUAGCAAUUAUGAUUAUAUUGAAUGACAAGCAGUAGUGUUCUAUUCCCUGUAUCUGUUGAUGGCAUUCCACAGUUUUCAGUAAAUCCAUUGUAAGUGGCCGCACUACAUUUCUUUUGGCCCUUAAUCUACCUCUAUUGUUGGAUACUCAGACGCUUCCCAGCUUUGAGCUUUAAAAACUUAAGUAUAUUAUUUCUUUUGGAUGGAUCCCUGAAAGUGGAAUUCCUCAGUCAACAAAGAGAAGAAUGAUUCUUAAGUUUCUUUAUCAGAGAUUUCAACCUCUUGGCCAGGGAGCCAAUUUGGCUCUUAGCUGAGUUGGACUUGGCCCAUGCAAAUUUUUUUUAAUGUAUGUCAACGUUUGAAAGGAAGACUAUUUCCCAUGAGAAUUCAGAUUUCCACUAAUCCUGGAAAAUCAGAGCUGCCUAAUCAAUCAAUGUAAGACUCCACAGUAAUAGAAUAAAGGGAAAAAGCCACAUAAUCAUCCCAAUUAAUACAGAAAAGGCAUUUGACAAAAGCCAACAUCUCGUAUGAUAAAACACCAAACUGGGAAUAGAGGAAACUUCAGUGUGAUAAAGGACGUUAUGAAAAGCUCAUGGCUGACAUCGUACUCCGUGGUGAAAGAUGAGAGCUUUCCUCCUAAGACAGAACCAGGACAAGGAUGCCUGCUUUCACCACUGCUACUCAACAGAAUGCUGGAAUUCUAGCCAAAGCAAUUAGGCAAGAAAAAGAAACAAAAGACAUCCAGAUUGGAAAGGAAGAAAUAACUAUCUGCAUGCACAGAUGACAUGAUCUUAUAUGUAGAAAAUUCAGAGAAUCCACUGAAUAGUGCUAAUAAGUGAAUCUAGCAAGGUUGCCAGGUGGAGGACCUACACACAAAAAUUAGUUGUUUUCCUAGACUAGCAAUGAACAACCCCAGAAGGAAACUAAGAAAACAAUUCCACUCAUAAUGGCAUCUGAAAGAAUACAAUACUUAGGAAUAAAUUUAAGCAGAGAGGUUAAAGGUUUGUAUACAGAGAAUUAUUGCUACGAGAAAUUAAAGAAGGUCUAAAUGCGUGGAAAGACAGCCCAUGUGUAUGGACUAGAAGGCUUAGUAUUGGUAAGAUGCAAUCCUACCCACCCAAAGCAAUCUACAGAUUCAAGGCUAUCCCCACCAAAAUCCCGAUGGCUUUUUUUUUUUUUUUUUUUUUUUUUGGUAGAAAUGAAAAAGCUCAUCCUAAAUUUCAUAUGUAACUGCAAGGGACCCUCCAUAGACUAAAAAAAAAAAUCUUAAGAAAGAAAACCAUAGUUAGAAGAAUCACAC